GUCUGUGUCUGUAUGUCUGUGUAUCUGUGUGUGUAUGUAUAUGUGUGUCUGUGUAUCUAUGUGUGUGUGUGUGUGUGUGUGUCUGUGUACAGGGGGAGAGAGCGGGGCACACAUUUAUUCUAUACUUCCUAUUUCAGUCCAGCACUACCGCACUUACUUCAUUUCCCACUUGUGGUAUCUGUGCCUCUCCUCUCACAGUGAGAAGUCUGCUUCCCAUUACCGCCAGGUAAUGAGUACUUAGUCCUAGAACAUGGCAGGCAGGUCACUGCAGAGAACAACGCCACCACUGAUAAUUAACUCCUUUUUGUUUCCUCCUUUUUGUCUGAGGGUUUAGGUCAAAACACCCCUACUUAAAACUUACUUCCGUUAAUCCUGCCUUCCAUGCUCUUCAAUUGAGUGUUAUUCUUUUGAAAUAAGCUUUAGCUUUUUUAUUCCUACUCCAUGUUGUGCCCGGCCCAGCACAUUCUUCCAACUCUACAGUUUUCCUCUUUUGUUUGUACAUUUAGCAAAACUCAUAAGUCUUCACUAAGUGAAAGGUUCACCCAGAGUGCAGUCAAAACCACAGAUUCCACCAACCCUGUAGGUCACUGCUGGAAGCAGGAAGAUUAUGAAUUCAAAGUCACACUCCACUACACAGAGGGCUGGGCUAUAUGAGAUCUUGUCUUUAAAAAAGAAAAAAAAAUGUGUGUGUGUUCUGUAUUCUGGAUUUGUGUCUAGGGCUCAAUUUCUGGCAGUAAUAAUAAUAAUAGUAAAUAUUAGAAAACGCUUUGUAUCAGGCUAUAGAAGUCUUACUUUUUGUUUGUUUGUUUGUUUGUUUUUCGAGACAGGAUUUCUCUGUGGCUUUGGAGCCUGUCCUGGAACUCUGUAGACCAGGCUGGCCUCGAACUCACAGAGAUCCGCCUGCCUCUGCCUCCCGAGUUCUGGGAUUAAAGGCAGACACCACCAACGCCUGGCUAGUCUUACUUAUUUUUACAGUUGUAUAUUAAAUGUUACCAGUGUCAAAGACUAGGCCCCAGCAAUCCUAAUAAGCUAGGCUUGGCCACCUGUCCACCAUAAGCCAAAUAAAGAGACAAACAGAGUGAAAAGCAGAGAAUAUUUCUUCAAGUAGCUACAUUGGGAAAAGGAAUAAGCAAAGAGGUCCAGUAGCUCCUCAUGUCCAUCUUCAGGUGACUGACAAGCAGUUUAGCUGAAACAAAGGUCAGGAGGACUGCAUACCUAAGUAUUCCUGGUCGAGGUGUGUCUCCGGAAUCACUUGGUCCAUCAUUGUCUUGGCUCCAAUCUGUCUUGCAAGGUGGACUGACAAGCAGCCCAAUUGGGAAACUCCUUCCUGGAUUACAAGUUCUUCCUCCGGCUGCCCUCGGGUGUCACAGUCCUAAAGUGCGCCUUUGGGAAAACCUCUUAGGACGAGGCCUUGUCAAAAGUAUCAGGUACCUGUGUACAGGUGAGAUGACAGACACCCGAGUUAAAUCCCCAAAACGUCGUACACGGCAGAUGGAUGGACAGAACCAGCUCCUGUAAGUUGUUCUGCGUGCACACACACACACAGAACACAAAUGUGGGGUGGUGGGGUUCACCAAACCUCCUAACCCUACAACCUUUCAUUCAGGGGGAGCUGUAUUAAGGGCCCAAGCCUUAGGAAGAUUGAGAAGCACCGAGAACUACCGCCCUAGAUGGAAGGGUGUUCAGGGUGAGGGACUCAGAGGAGUCAAAGCCUCACCCCUCUGGAUGCCCUGUCCUGCACCCUCCCAAAGUCCCCCACCCCAGAACCCUGCCCUAACUGGGUUUUCUACAGGCUUCACUGUGCACUGUCAAAAAAAAAAAAAAGCCCACAGUGAAUUUAGUCACAGUUUAGUGUGAGAUUCAUGAAUGGAGAGCAAGUCUCCGUUUUUUUUUUUUUUUUUUUUUCCUUUCUGAAAGGAAUGAGGAGCUACCCGCCCUCCCCGGGGCCGUGCAGAACUGGUGGGGUUUGUGAGGCGGGAACAAGGAAACAGAAAAACAAGAACACCUGAUUAGCAUCCACCAGAUCAGUGUUUUUCUGAGGGCUAAAGUGGAAAGCACUUCCUCCUGGAGCCAACUGGAGGAGACUGGAACCUCCAAUUUUGAGGAGAAAACUGGUCCUUUAAGGAAACUGCUCCUUUGAAGCUUCAGUUCCGGUUAGGAUGAAUGGCUCUAUUCCGGCGUGGUCCAGUAAGGACACAAGGCACCAAGAAGUCACUUUUGCUAAAAAGCAGCAACCCCUCGCCUGAGCCUCCGGGGAGGAGGAGCAGGUGAAAGUCUGGCCUCUGCCUUCCACUCUAGGCCACCUUGCUUUUUUUUUUUUUUUUUUUUUUUUGCCAAAGGCAACAGAGAUGAAUCAUUGUCCUUAACUUUCCCUCCUGUGACCCUUUGUAUUCUAGAAACGACAGAACCUCCUCCCCAACCCCCACCCCGACAGGACAGAGGGCUCCUUUCCCCAGGUGAGGGCAGCUCUCUGUGAAGGUGAGGCUGCCUUCUGGAGAACUAACUAACUACUCGGUCCCCUCAAGCAACAAGGACUUCCUUAGAUCACCUGGGAGACAGGAGAUGAACAAGACACACCUAGACCAGGACUCUAAUUACACACCUCUCCUCCCUCUAGUCUCCCUCUAUGUAAACCUAAAGUUCAAGACGGAGCCUUGAAGCAAGGUGGCUCUGCAUUAGUCUCAUCUCUCUGCUCUCUAUCGUUUCUUGUUUUUGAUUGGCCAUGGGGGAGGGAAGAGUUGACUGAGCAUAGUUUUUCCCCCCUUUGGGCAGGGGACAGCAGCUCAAGCACUGUUAACUUAAAACUCUGGGAACAGUUAUGUUGGGCCCUAGUACAGGAGCUGGGCCCCUACAGUGACCUGUCACACUUGCUGAGGAGGCAUCAGAUCCAGAGCUGUUAGGUCAAAUCCUGGAAGCCCUUCACAAGCAAGGUUCAGCUACCUGUCCCAGUCAGCAGGUAAAGAAACAGGUAGUAGUGAAAGAGAAAACUAAUUUGGUUCCUGCCAACACAUUAGGGAAAAAAACCGAAGAGACCUAGUAAACUCUCUUCCUAAUCCAAGCUCACCUUUGGGGUCCUGACACAGGUUUGGAGGUAAACAGAGGGCUCGGGGCAUGCAUACGAAUCAUGAAACAGUCCCAGUCACUGGGUGUGGUCACGCCCAUCACUGACAACCAUUAUCCCAACUUCCCCUUCCAGUCUACUAGACAAGUCAAUACUGUCUGACAUCUUUCUCCCCCAGAGAAAAUCUCACCCUAUCGCCGACACCAGGACACUAUCCUUUUUCUUCUUAUCCUUUGGAGAGUCCAAGGGUUUUUUUUGUAGUUGUACGCCAGGAAAUGAAGGCCAAAUGUCUCUUUCACAAUGUCACAUUGGAGAAAUCUGGUGCACAGACAUAGAAACCAACCUCCUUUACUGGUGACUUCCUUAUCUCCUGACUGUAAGGCCUGGCUGAGCUUCCAGCCCCCAUGCAUUACAGAUUUACUACAAGCUGUUA